CCAGCUAUCAUUCCCUGAAACACAAAAUAGUAUUGUUAAACAAAGAAUGUAAAGAGACUUGUUAGAAAAAUAGGCAGCCAAUUUGUAAGAUAUCUGCUGGUGAGAGAAAAUUACUCAGAAGGGGAAGAUCAUUCCCAUAGUGAAGCAUAUUUCUUAUAGCAUUCAAGUUCAUAGCAUUCAAUGAUUUUUUUUUUUGGGGGGGUCCUAGUAGCAUAUUUCUUAUAGCAUUCAAGUUCAUAGCAUUCAAUGAUUUUUUUUUUUGGGGGGGUCCUAGUAGCAUAUUUCUUAUAGCAUUCAAGUUCAUAGCAUUCAAGUUCCUGCUGGAUAGUUGCACUCUCAAUCUUAUAUUUAUUGAGGCAUUUGAUACGAAAUUAAUAAGGGAUAAUUAUUACCCUUAUAAAAUUUAACCUCUCAUUGUUGUUUGGAUGCUACAAGGGAAUAGAUUAAUUUUUAACCUCGUUAAUAUUUAACUACUAUUUAGGAGUUAAAUGUUAACCUUGAGGGAUUAAGUUAACAAAGUUUAACAAAUAGAACAACACCAUAAUUCGUUUAAGUUUUUUUAUUAACCUCCUACCAAA
rnacentral:misc_RNA from 1 species